GAUGAACGCUGGCGGCGUGCCUAAUACAUGCCAGUCGAGCGAACGGACGAGAAGUUUGCUUCUCUGAUGUUAGCGGCGGACGGGUGAGUAACACGUGGAUAACCUACCUAUAAGACUGGGAUAACUUCGGGAAACCGGAGCUAAUACCGGAUAAUAUUUUGAACCGCAUGGUUCAAACGUGAAAGACGGUCUUGCUGUCACUUAUAGAUGGAUCCGCGCUGCAUUAGCUAGUUGGUAAGGUAACGGCUUACCAAGGCAACGAUGCAUAGCCGACCUGAGAGGGUGAUCGGCCACACUGGAACUGAGACACGGUCCAGACUCCUACGGGAGGCAGCAGUAGGGAAUCUUCCGCAAUGGGCGAAAGCCUGACGGAGCAACGCCGCGUGAGUGAUGAAGGUCUUCGGAUCGUAAAACUCUGUUAUUAGGGAAGAACAUAUGUGUAAGUAACUGUGCACAUCUUGACGGUACCUAAUCAGAAAGCCACGGCUAACUACGUG
rnacentral:rRNA from 1 species